rnacentral:rRNA from 1 species
AUUGAACGCUGGCGGCAGGCCUAACACAUGCAAGUCGAACGAGGGGCGGACUGGUGAGUAAUGUAUUGGAAACUGCCUAAUGGAGGGGUAUCACUACUGGCAAUGGUAGAUACUACCGCAUAACACCCGAUGUGCCCAGAGUGGAUUAGCUAGUUGGUGGGGUAAAGGCUCACCAAGGCGACGAUCCCGAGCUGGUCGGAGAGGAAGACCGGCCAAACUGGAACUGAGACACGGUCCAGACGCCUACGGGAGGCAGAAGUGGGGAAUAUUGCACAAUGGGCGAAAGCCUGAGUCAGCCAUGCCGCGUGUAUGAAGAAGGGCGUCGGUUUGUAAAGUACUUUCAGCGGGGAGGCGUUAUCCACAUAAGAAGCACCGGCUAACUCCGGGCCAGCAGCCGCGGUAAUAC